rnacentral:rRNA from 1 species
GAUGAACGCUGGCGGCGUGCCUAAUACAUGCAAGUCGAGCGAACAGACGAGGAGCUUGCUCCUCUGACGUUAGCGGCGGACGGGUGAGUAACACGUGGAUAACCUACCUAUAAGACUGGGAUAACUUCGGGAAACCGGAGCUAAUACCGGAUAAUAUAUUGAACCGCAUGGUUCAAUAGUGAAAGACGGUUUUGCUGUCACUUAUAGAUGGAUCCGCGCCGCAUUAGCUAGUUGGUAAGGUAACGGCUUACCAAGGCAACGAUGCGUAGCCGACCUGAGAGGCUGAUCGGCCACACGGGAACUGAGACACGGUCCAGACUCCUACGGGAGGCAGCAGUAGGGAAUCUUCCGCAAUGGGCGAAAGCCUGACGGAGCAACGCCGCGUGAGUGAUGAAGGUCUUCGGAUCGUAAAACUCUGUUAUUAGUGAAGAACAAAUGUGUACGUAACUAUGCACGUCUUGACGGUACCUAAUCAGAAAGCCACGGCUAACUACGUG